rnacentral:misc_RNA from 1 species
GACAGAGUGGAAUUCAGCUGCAGAUAGAUGCUUCCCCGCAUUUGAAAUAUCAGGAGGUGAACUUGGCAGGGGACAGGAACUUAAAGUUACCAAUUCCUUAACUAUACGUAUGGACAGGGAAGUAAAUCCACAUUCCACGGCGACCCUAUCAUUUGAUGGUUCAUGGCAAGAAGCAAGCUUAAAGUCUGUCCCUUCAAACAAACAAUUCAACUUCAC